AUUUGAAUUUGGGAUGGCUCAGAGCCAUAUGAGGCUCCAAUGAGUUCAUGUAUGGUGGAUUGAUGUAUUAUCGAGAGAUUAAGUUUUCGAUCGCUCCUCUAUUAGUUUAGACAUAUUGAAGGCAAGGAUGAAUUUUGAGAGAAGGUGAGCAUGAGUUAAGAGAAUUUUAAUUUGAGGGUCCUCAUAUCAAUUGUGUUGUUAGGGGUAUUCGGAAAAUGAAAUCGAGUCGGUUCGGCUUGAAUAUGUCCAUCAAUAUUUCGAUCUCGAAGACUAUUAAUG
rnacentral:lncRNA from 1 species